rnacentral:rRNA from 1 species
CCUACGGGAGGCAGCAGUAGGGUAUAUUGCACAAUGGGGGAAACCCUGAUGCAGCAACGCCGCGUGGGGGAAGAAGGUUUUCGGAUUGUAAACUUCUAUUGUCAGAGAAGAUAAUGACGGUAUCUGACCAAUAAGCACCGGCUAACUCCGUGCCAGCAGCCGCGGUAAUACGUAGGGGGCAAGCGUUACCCGGAUUCACUGGGUGUAAAGAGCGCGUAGACGGGGAAGUAAGUCUGGUGUGAAAUCCUAGGGCUUAACCAUGGGACUGCUUUUGAAACUGUGAUUCUGGAGUAUAGGAGGGGUAGGUGGAAUUCUUGGUGUAGGGGUGAAAUGCGUAGAUAUCAAGAGGAAUACUCGCUGCGAAGGCGACCUGCUAGAACGUAACUGACGUUGAGGCGCGAAAGCGUGGGGAGCAAACAGGAUUAGAUACCCGUGUAGUC